rnacentral:rRNA from 1 species
GAUGAACGCUAGCGGCAGGCUUAAUACAUGCAAGUCGAACGGUAAGUGUAGUAGCAAUACUAUACGAGAGUGACGUACGGGUGCGUAACACGUAUGCAACCUACCUUGUACAGGAGGAUAGCUCGGGGAAACUCGAAUUAACCCUCCAUAAGAUAGUGGUGAGGCAUCUCACAGCUCUUAAAACUCAGGUGGUACAAGAU